UACAGAGGUGGCAAGCGUUGUCCGGAAUUAUUGGGCGUAAAGAGCUCGUAGGCGGUCUGUUGCGUCCGCUGUGAAAACUCGGGGCUUAACCCCGAGCCUGCAGUGGAUACGGGCAGACUAGAGGUAGGUAGGGGAGAAUGGAAUUCCCGGUGUAGCGGUGAAAUGCGCAGAUAUCGGGAGGGACACCGGUGGCGAAGGCGGUUCUCUGGGCCUUACCUGACGCUGAGGAGCGAAAGCGUGGGGAGCGAACAGG
rnacentral:rRNA from 1 species